GGAGUUGUAGUUCAGUUCAUAGAGUGCUUGCCUAGUAUGCAUGAGGCCCUGGGUUUGAUCCCCAGCAUCACAU
rnacentral:tRNA from 1 species